rnacentral:rRNA from 1 species
UACUCCUACGGGAGGCAGCAGUAGGGAAUCUUCGGCAAUGGACGGAAGUCUGACCGAGCGACGCCGCGUGAGUGAAGAAGGUUUUCGGAUCGUAAAGCUCUGUUGUAAGAGAAGAACGAGUGUGAGAGUGGAAAGUUCACACUGUGACGGUAUCUUACCAGAAAGGGACGGCUAACUACGUGCCAGCAGCCGCGGUAAUACGUAGGUCCCGAGCGUUGUCCGGAUUUAUUGGGCGUAAAGCGAGCGCAGGCGGUUAGAUAAGUCUGAAGUUAAAGGCUGUGGCUUAACCAUAGUACGCUUUGGAAACUGUUUAACUUGAGUGCAAGAGGGGAGAGUGGAAUUCCAUGUGUAGCGGUGAAAUGCGUAGAUAUAUGGAGGAACACCGGUGGCGAAAGCGGCUCUCUGGCUUGUAACUGACGCUGAGGCUCGAAAGCGUGGGGAGCAAACAGGAUUAGAUACCCUGGUAGUCCACGCCGUAAACGAUGAGUGCUAGGUGUUAGACCCUUUCCGGGGUUUAGUGCCGUAGCUAACGCAUUAAGCACUCCGCCUGGGGAGUACGACCGCAAGGUUGAAACUCAAAGGAAUUGACGGA